AGUGAACGCUGGCGAUAGGCCUAACACAUGCAAGUCGAACGGCAGCACAGUAAGAGCUUGCUCUUACGGGUGGCGAGUGGCGGACGGGUGAGGAAUACAUCGGAAUCUACUUUUUCGUGGGGGAUAACGUAGGGAAACUUACGCUAAUACCGCAUACGACCUACGGGCGAAAGCAGGGGAUCUUCGGACCUUGCGCGAUUGAAUGAGCCGAUGUCGGAUUAGCUAGUUGGCGGGGUAAAGGCCCACCAAGGCGACGAUCCGUAGCUGGUCUGAGAGGAUGAUCAGCCACACUGGAACUGAGACACGGUCCAGACUCCUACGGGAGGCAGCAGUGGGGAAUAUUGGACAAUGGGCGCAAGCCUGAUCCAGCCAUACCGCGUGGGUGAAGAAGGCCUUCGGGUUGUAAAGCCCUUUUGUUUGGAAAGAAAAGCAGCAGGUUAAUACCCCGCUGUUCUGACGGUACCCAAAGAAUAAGCACCGGCUAACUUCGUG
rnacentral:rRNA from 1 species